AUUGAACGCUGGCGGCAGGCCUAACACAUGCAAGUCGAACGGUAACAGGAAGCAGCUUGCUGCUUCGCUGACGAGUGGCGGACGGGUGAGUCAUGUCUGGGAAACUGCCUGAUGGCGGGGGAUAACUACUGGAAACGGUAGCUAAUACCGCAUAACUUCGCAAGACCAAAGAGGGGGACCUUAGGGCCUCUUGCCAUCGGAUGUGCCCAGAUGGGAUUAGCUAGUAGGUGGGGUAACGGCUCACCUAGGCGACGAUCCCUAGCUGGUCUGAGAGGAUGAACGGCCACACUGGAACUGAGACACGGUCCAGACUCCUACGGGAGGCAGCAGUGGGGAAUAUUGCACAAUGGGCGCAAGCCUGAUGGAGCCAUGCCGCGUGUAUGAAGAAGGCCUUCGGGUUGUAAAGUACUUUCAGCGGGGAGGAAGGGAGGAAAGUUAAUACCUGUGCUCAUUGACGUUACCCGCAGAAGAAGCACCGGCUAACUCCGUG
rnacentral:rRNA from 1 species